CCGAGUUUACAACUCCCAAACCCCUGUGAACAUACCACUUGUUGCAGCCUCGGCGGAUCAGCCCGCUCCCGGUAAAACGGGACUAGGCCCGCCAGAGGACCCCUAAACUCUGUUUCUAUAUGUAACUUCCUGAGUAAAACCAUAAAUAAAUCA
rnacentral:misc_RNA from 1 species